AUAUAUAUAUAUAUAUAUAAAAAUCAUAUAUUGUAUAUAAGUAUACAUGCAUAUAUAUGUAUUAUUCUAUAUGGGUAUAUAUAUCCAUCAUAUAAUAUAAUUUAUUUCACAGCAAAACUGUUCUGAUUGGACGUAUCAGUCUCCCAUAUCAUGUGCUGAAGAACAGAAGACCCAAAGUAGAAUUCUUUUCUUCCUGAAAUGUUUGUAAUGUCGGGGAGGACGAGGCGGGGGACAGUUCCACAACCCUUCCCCCACUUAUUCCUGAGGAGUCACAAUUGCAAGUAUAGUGAGACUUAUUAUGCAGAAUACAUAAAUGCUACAUUGGCUUCUCUUCCUCCCCUUUACUUUCCUACUGAAGCUAUCUGACUGCAUUUUCUGCCUUUUAAAACUUCUAAAAUCUAAAUCACAGUGGACUACUAGUUUGAUCUGUAGGUGUCUCAUUGGCAGGAGAAAGGAAAAUGUAUGGAACAUUUCUUACACCUGCUGUUACAAAUUAUAUAUGCUACCUUUCUCUGAAAACCCUUUAAUGGAGGCCUGUGAGAACAUUCAGCUCAAAUUAAAAUAACAUAAGUGAAAUUUUUUGGUUUUCACAGAUCUCUGAGAAAGAACUUUAAUAAACACAAACUAAAAGGAAGCUGUGGGAAAGAGAAGAAGAACAAAAUGUCUGCCAGAAAAUAAUGUGAAAACAUUUCUCUUUUUUAUGGAGAAAGGCCUGAUCAUAGCAGCAAACCUUACGCUUCAAUGUUGUGCUGCAGAAAACCCCACAGAGGAACUGAAAGAAUCUGAAAGAACUGAAUGAAUGUGAAAGAUCGCAUAGAGGUGCUAAGCCCCCCAGGGGAAUGUGUUUGGUGCUUACUCCAUGCUAACAGAAUGCUGAAAUGAUAGAAUUCACAUUUGGCAUUGAGUUAUAUCAAGUUUGGUCUCCUAUAGGUAUUAUUUCAUUUGGCUGUGCUGUUUGAAAUUACUGAACGGCAAGAUGUUCCUUAAACCAGCAGUAUUAACAAAGAAUGGCAAUGACCAGUGCUCCACUGAUGCCUAACACAGUACAGCAGCUCUCCAUGUGGAAUGGGAAUGCUUUCCCUCCAUCAGUUCCUUCCAGACCUGAAAGAGUUCUGUGUUGUGGAUCUGAAUAUUAUAGCUUUAGGCGGUGUCAGUGGCUCACAAACACAUAUGUUAAUAAUAUAUGUGUAAAGAACUUAGUAUAAGGACCCUGAAUCCUCUUUGAUGCCUGUCACCGCUCCUUUACUGUCCUCAUCUCCUCCCCACGGUCCUAUGUCACUGGGGCUCACAGGGCCCCAUGCGAGGGGAAGAGAGAGAAGGGAUGGGAUAUUAUUGUGUCUGAAGAGGACUUUGGAGUGAUAGUCACUGUAGACUGUUGUUGACUAAGUGACACCAGGCUUGGGGAGCGGGUCUAUGAGUACUGGGAUGAUGCUGGAAGCUAAGGAAACCAACGGAGACGGACAGUGGGGUGUGUAGUAGUGAAAGAGCUCAUGGAUGAUAGUGUUGGGGAUAUGAGAUAUUCUGUAGGUGAGAAACCAAUGACCCUGCAGAAGAGCAGUGGGGUGAGUAGGUGUUGCUCACCAGCAAAGCAAAAUAGGUGGCCAUUACUGGGAUGACUUCCCUUACCUGGCCACGCUUCUCUCCUUUGCUGCUUGCCAGAAAAGACAGUGAAGAUGCUCAGGGUAAUGUCUUGCUGAGCCCUCAGUCAUGUUGGAGAAGGAAAGGCACAAGGAAGCCUUUACCCAUCAGUGAUUUGGGAGGCCACAAGCAGAAGAAUCCUGCAGUAUGAGGCUACAUGCUAUUGCAAUAUUAAAAGUAACAUGCAACUGAAAUGCUUCUUUUGAUUCCUAGGGCAGAAGAAGUUGGAACUGAGUGAGCAAAGUGGCAAAUUCCUGCCUCAACUGAAAUACCUUUCUGUCUCGCUGCUUGGGAACCAGAGUUUUAGACCUCUGAUGUCUGAUGAUAGCAUGUGGAUUAGACGUUUUGUGGCUCCUUUUGAACUAGUCAUCUCUUGCCCAAGUGCCUGCUUCUGAGGAAGACUGGACAUGAUGAGCCAUGUGGCCCUUUUCUCUGUCAGAUAACCGAGAAAAUGAGCGAGACUGGUUUUGAAAGAAUUCUUUGUGCAGAACAACUGGAGUGGAGAGACUUUGCCUUCCAACAUUUUUACUGGUGCCAAAUCCAGGGAAUUUGUUAGCAUGUGUGGACUUCAAAGAAAAUGGAAAAUCUUGAAUUUUAGACCAAGGAGAUGAAGAGGGUAGCACUGGAGGAGCAGAUAUAUGAAUGUGAACUUAAAAAGCAUCCAUCACUUAGGAUCAUCCUUCCAUACACCUGCGAGACUUUGCCUGAGCCAGGUGAUGUAACAGCAAGAGGGAAAUGGUCAGCCUUGAAGAAGGAAGAUAACCUAGCAGAACAAGGUUAAAAAACUGCAUUUGAAGGAGACCCUAGAGCUUUUCUUGCCAUGCCCCAGAAAUCAUGUAAUAGCUGCACAGAUGCUGUUGUUCACUGCCCUGAUGGAGAGGGAAACUGCCCUGCUGCUGUUCUGGGCCCUGAAGUGGACUGUGCUCGUCUGAACUGUUCCUCAUCAGAUGUGCCUUACAAAAUAGGUCUAGAAAGACCUUUAAAAGGUGUGACUGCCUUGGGGGGGGGGGGGGGAGGAGGGGGCCUUAAUCCUGAUAUUAACCAGUACACCUUUUUUGUAUCUCAAAAUACUGUGGAAGGAGGGAAGAUUUAUUAUUAAAAACACAUCUUUGAAAUCAGUUUCAUCUGGAUCCACAAAUAUCAAAAUUCUGCAAUUAUAGUGGUAUGAAUGUCUAGGCAGAUUACAAUUUCUUUUAAAUGUAACUUUAUUGCUGAAUGUAUGCAGAAAAGGUGUCUGCACAGCCAUUAAUGGACACUACCAUCAACUGUGGACAGAAAUCUAAUUUAGCAGAAAUAAGCUUCAAGUCAAUGUUCCUCCUUACUCUAAUUUACCUAAGAACUUUCUAUUUAUUGCAAAACAAAGGUUGAUUAGGAGCGGUAACACAUAGUGAUACCUACUGAACAAUUUUCAGAACAAAGAAAUGACAAUGCUUUCAUUAACCUUAUAUUAUCCUCAAAAGCACAAAUAGUGGAUGCCUGUGGUUUUCAGUAAGGGUGCAGAUGGCAUAUGAGGACAAAAAACUUUAAAAAUAUGAGAUGGGCAUAGGCUGACCAGGCAGCAGCUCUAAAAGCAAAGGUUUAGAGUUUACCAUGGAUCACAAGUGUGAAUGUGAAUCAACAAUAUGGUUACAUGCAUACACACACACAUGGAUGCACAUAAACAAGACAACUGAAACAAUUACUUUUUCCACAUAUUUCAGCAUGGCAAUUUUAGAUACCAUGCUCCAAGAAAAAUGCAGAUGACGUCAAGAAAAUUCAUGAAGAAAGAAAAAAAAAAAACCAGAAACGACCAGUGCCUAAGAAAUGUAAUUUCUAGAGAAAUCUUGGAUGAACUGGAGUUGCAAAGUCUAGGGAAGAAAUUGAUGGAAGAUUUGUUAAAACACAGUUGCUAGGAGAACUAAACUAUUUUCCGUGUCCAAUUCAUAUAGAAUAACAAGUAACAUACUAAAGCCAGGGACACUUGUGUUAGCCCUCAACAUAAACUCUCAUGACCUGGAGGUUGUCAAA